rnacentral:lncRNA from 1 species
GGUGGGCUAAGCUGGGCAGCCGCACAAGACGGGUCACAUACAGGUAGUGGAGGAAAGGAUGCAUGUCUAGUUUAACCUUGAGCUUCCUCUAAAUCACACCAAUAGGCAGGUAUUGAUUCCCUUUAGCAGGAGCAGAUAUUUUCACAUUUUCCAUCCCUGAGCUGGGUAGGGUACCUCUGGGAAUAGAAAAUGUGAGCCUGACCCUGCUGCUCAUGCACACGUCAGAAAGAAAGCACAGCUCAUGCAUCCCACCACCCAUGCAGGGACACACUUUGCCAAUGAAUCAAAUACCUCCAUGAGCUGAAGACCCAGUGAAACCUGGUUUCCUUGUGCCUGUUGGGUGUACUCUUGUCUCGUGAGAGCACAGCUGGUCCUGCUGCCUUUCCUGCAAUUACAUUGCCAACUUCUUCCAUGGGGAUGUCUGUUUUCCAGACCUUGUGAGAACUUUGUGUCUCAGGAGGUGUUUGCCCCUCUGUCAAACUUGGCUGAAACUGGAAAACAGGUUGUAAAAUUACUAGGGAGUCACAGGCACCCAUGCCUUAGACACAGCCUGUGUGCAUGAUUCAUCCAUUUAAUUUUCACAGGUGGUGCUGAAAGAUAUCAUUGAGAUGCAGAUCCAAAUUGUUCACAAAUGCCCCGCAUUUUCCCUUCAGCUGCACAGCUUUUCACUGCAGCCAAUGUGUCACAUAACUUCUCUUACGCGUCUCCCAGAGUCCUGGAGGUCAGGCUGGAAAGUGAAAAAUGCAGAGAUCUAGGAAUGGCUCAGCCAGCUGAAAGUUACGGGAAGGGAAAGGCUCCAGUUUCACUGAAGGGAAGGGAAAAAAAAAAAAAAAGAAGAGGAAGAAGAAUGGCUCCUUUCAAUGCAGACGGAGGCAGUCUGGCUGAGAGUCAGUGAGGUUUAAAAAUCCAAGUGGUCCAAUAACUGAAAAUCUGUAUAGAUUCAAAGCAAUACUUUAAAUACUGAACAAGUGCAGAUUAAAAAAAAAAAAAAGAAAAAGAAAAAAAAAAAAAGGUGUGAUGGCUUUUCCAUUCUCUUGGUGCAUAUAGCCAACCAAACAGUAUUUCUUUUCCUCAAACUCUG